AAUCAACGCUGGCGGCGUGCCUAACACAUGCAAGUCGAACGCGAAAGUCCCGCAAGGGAUCAGUAGAGUGGCAAACGGGUGAGUAACGCGUGGGUGACCUGCCUUCGAGUGGGGGAUAACGUUUCGAAAGGGACGCUAAUACCGCAUAACAUCCUGCCUUUUAAGAGGUGGACAUCAAAGCCUGGGGACCGCAAGGCCAGGCGCUUGAAGAGGGGCCCGCGUCUGAUUAGCUAGUUGGGGGGUAACGGCUCACCAAGGCAACGAUCAGUAUCCGGCCUGAGAGGGGCGGACGGACACACUGGGACUGAGACACGGCCCAGACUCCUACGGGAGGCAGCAGUGGGGAAUUGUUCGCAAUGGGCGCAAGCCUGACGACGCAACGCCGCGUGGAGGAUGAAGAUCUUCGGGUCGUAAACUCCUUUCGAUCGAGACGAACGGCCUCCGGGUGAACAAUCCGGAGGAGUGACGGUACCGAGAAGAAGAA
rnacentral:rRNA from 1 species